UUUAGGCUGCAGAAAAGGACAGGCUCAAAUUGACGUUAUUUCUGGGUUGCUGUGAGCUGCAGGAUCCAGGAGACUGCAAUGAGAUGGGCUGUAAAAAAGAAUUUAAAUGCCUUGGAAAAGCAUCUUGAGRGUCCGCACGCAGAAACCACUUGCUGUCUAUGGCAGGAAGCAAUCUGCA